CAUGCACUGGUGGGGUCCCUCGGCCUGGCCUGUGCCCUCUCGCAAUCUGGGCCCCCUUGGGGGAUGUCGGACUGCUGGUUUCGGCCCGAUCCCCGCAGGCCAGGCUGAGGGACCCAACCAGUGCACA
rnacentral:pre_miRNA from 1 species